AGGACGAACGCUGGCGGCGUGCCUAAUACAUGCAAGUCGAACGCACUGACGUCGACAGAAGGUGCUUGCACUGGAAGUUGAUUGACGUGAGUGGCGGACGGGUGAGUAACACGUGGGUAACCUGCCCUUAAGCGGGGGAUAACAUUUGGAAACAGAUGCUAAUACCGCAUAAAAGUUGAGAUCACAUGGUCUUAAUUUGAAAGACGGCCUUUGGCUGUCACUUAAGGAUGGACCCGCGGCGUAUUAGCUAGUUGGUGAGAUAAUAGCCCACCAAGGCGAUGAUACGUAGCCGACCUGAGAGGGUAAUCGGCCACAUUGGGACUGAGACACGGCCCAAACUCCUACGGGAGGCAGCAGUAGGGAAUCUUCCACAAUGGACGAAAGUCUGAUGGAGCAACGCCGCGUGAGUGAAGAAGGUUUUCGGAUCGUAAAACUCUGUUGUUGGAGAAGAACAGGGACUAGAGUAACUGUUAGUCCUUUGACGGUAUCCAACCAGAAAGCCACGGCUAACUACGUGCCAGCAGCCGCGGUAAUACGUAGGUGGCAAGCGUUGUCCGGAUUUAUUGGGCGUAAAGCGAGCGCAGGCGGUUUCUUAAGUCUGAUGUGAAAGCCUUCGGCUUAACCGAAGAAGUGCAUCAGAUACUGGGAAACUUGAGUGCAGAAGAGGGAAGUGGAACUCCAUGUGUAGCGGUGAAAUGCGUAGAUAUAUGGAAGAACACCAGUGGCGAAGGCGGCUUUCUGGUCUGUAACUGACGCUGAGGCUCGAAAGUAUGGGGAGCGAACAGGAUUAGAUACCCUGGUAGUCCAUACCGUAAACGAUGAAUGCUAAGUGUUGGAGGGUUUCCGCCCUUCAGUGCUGCAGCUAACGCAUUAAGCAUUCCGCCUGGGGAGUACGACCGCAAGGUUGAAACUCAAAGGAAUUGACGGGGGCCCGCACAAGCGGUGGAGCAUGUGGUUUAAUUCGAAGCUACGCGAAGAACCUUACCAGGUCUUGACAUCUAGCGCCAAUCCUAGAGAUAGGACGUUCCCUUCGGGGACGCUAAGACAGGUGGUGCAUGGUUGUCGUCAGCUCGUGUCGUGAGAUGUUGGGUUAAGUCCCGCAACGAGCGCAACCCUUAUGAUUAGUUGCCAGCAUUUAGUUGGGCACUCUAAUCAGACUGCCGGUGACAAACC
rnacentral:rRNA from 1 species